UAUAUACUCCCUCCGCCCGGAAAUACUUGUCGGAGAAAUGGAUGUAUCUAGACGUAUUUUAGUUCUAGAUACAUCCAAUUUUAUCUAUUUGUGCGACAAGUAUUUCCGGACGGAGGGAGUAGAAA
rfam:Triticum aestivum genome assembly, contig: Triticum_aestivum_CS42_TGACv1_scaffold_171288_2DL